rnacentral:sRNA from 13 species
AGAGGAAGCCCGGUGCGAUUCCGGCGCGGUCCCGCCACUGUGACCGGGGAACAGGAGCCCCGGGAGCCAGGAACUC